AAAAAAAAUUAGAUGGGCAUGGAUUAUAGGAAGUCGUAAUGGUGAAGACAGAAUUGCUCCACUGCUUGUGUUGAGCUCCUCUAUCAAAAAA